rnacentral:rRNA from 1 species
GUACACACCGCCCGUCGCUACUACCGAUUGAAUGGCUUAGUGAGACCUCGGGAUUGAUAAAUCGCAUCUGGCAACAGAAGCUUUUUGUUGAAAACUUGGUCAAACUUGGUCAUUUAGAGGAAGUAAAAGUCGUAACAAGGUAACCGUAGGUGAACCUGCAGAAGGAUCA